rnacentral:rRNA from 1 species
CCUACGGGUGGCAGCAGUGAGGAAUAUUGGUCAAUGGGCGUAAGCCUGAACCAGCCAAGUCGCGUGAGGGAUGACGGUCCUAUGGAUCGUAAACUUCUUUUAUAUGGGAAUAAAGUGUGGCACGUGUGCUCUUUUGUAUGUACCUUAUGAAUAAGGAUCGGCUAACUCCGUGCCAGCAGCCGCGGUAAUACGGAGGAUCCGAGCGUUAUCCGGAUUUAUUGGGUUUAAAGGGGGCGUAGGUGGCUUUUUAAGUCAGCUGUGAAAGUCUGUGGCUCAACCAUAAAAUUGCCGUUGAAACUGGCAGGCUGGAGUACAGUAGAGGUGGGCGGAAUGCGUGGUGUAGCGGUGAAAUGCUUAGAUAUAACGAAGAACCCCGAUUGCGAAGGCAG